UGGGGAAUAUUGCACAAUGGGCGCAAGCCUGAUGCAGCCAUGCCGCGUGUGUGAAGAAGGCCUUCGGGUUGUAAAGCACUUUCAGCGAGGAGGAAGGCGUUAAGGUUAAUAACCUUGGCGAUUGACGUUACUCGCAGAAGAAGCACCGGCUAACUCCGUGCCAGCAGCCGCGGUAAUACGGAGGGUGCAAGCGUUAAUCGGAAUUACUGGGCGUAAAGCGCACGCAGGCGGUUUGUUAAGUCAGAUGUGAAAUCCCCGAGCUUAACUUGGGAACUGCAUUUGAAACUGGCAAGCUAGAGUCUUGUAGAGGGGGGUAGAAUUCCAGGUGUAGCGGUGAAAUGCGUAGAGAUCUGGAGGAAUACCGGUGGCGAAGGCGGCCCCCCUGGACAAAGACUGACGCUCAGGUGCGAAAGCGUGGGGCAGCAAACAGGAUUAGAUACCCUGGUAGUCCACGCUGUAAACGAUGUCGAUUUGGAGGUUGUGGGCUUGACCCGUGGCUUCCGGAGCUAACGCGUUAAAUCGACCGCCUGGGGAGUACGGCCGCAAGGUUAAA
rnacentral:rRNA from 1 species